rnacentral:rRNA from 1 species
AGUGAACGCUGGCGGCGUGCUUAACACAUGCAAGUCGAACGAGAACGGAAUAUAGCUUGCUAUAUUUGUCAGCUAAGUGGCGCACGGGUGAGUAAUGUAUAGAUAACCUGCCCUUAAGAAAGGAAUAACAGUUGGAAACGACUGCUAAUGCCCUAUAUGCCUUUAAUACAUAAGUAUGCAAGGGAAACGCUUUAGUGCUUAAGGAUGGGUCUGUAUGGUAUCAGCUUGUUGGGGAGGUAAUGGCUCACCAAGGCUAUGUCGCCUAACUGGUUUGAGAGGAUGAUCAGUCACACUGGAACUGAGACACGGUCCAGACUCCUACGGGAGGCAGCAGUGGGGAAUAUUGCACAAUGGACGAAAGUCUGAUGCAGCAACGCCGCGUGGAGGAUGACACAUUUCGGUGCGUAAACUCCUUUUAUAUAGGAAGAUAAUGACGGUACUAUAUGAAUAAGCACCGGCUAACUCCGUGCCAGCCGCCGCGGUAA